AACGAACGCUGGCGGCAGGCCUAACACAUGCAAGUCGAGCGCCCCCUUCAGAGGUCAGAGAGUUAGAUGCGGUGGUUGGAGAGAUCCGAUCGCUGUGUUUUGGUUUUCUGAAUUCUGAUGGGGGAGCGGCGGACGGGUGAGUAACGCGUGGGAAUUUUCCUCAAGGUACGGAACAACUCAGGGAAACUUGGGCUAAUACCGUAUGAUGUCUAGCGACCAAAGAUUUAUCGCCUGGGGAUAAGCCCGCGUCAGAUUAGGUAGUUGGUGGGUAACGGCCUACCAAGCCUGCGAUCUGUAGCUGGUCUGAGAGGACGAUCAGCCACACUGGGACUGAGACACGGCCCAGACUCCUACGGGAGGCAGCAGUGGGAAUCUUGCGCAA
rnacentral:rRNA from 1 species